rnacentral:rRNA from 1 species
AUACGGAGGGAGCGAGCGUUAAUCGGAAUUACUGGGCGUAAAGCGCGCGUAGGCGGCUUUGUAAGUCGGAUGUGAAAGCCCUGGGCUUAACCUGGGAAUGGCAUUCGAUACUGCAUGGCUAGAGUAUGGUAGAGGGAAGUGGAAUUUCCGGUGUAGCGGUGAAAUGCGUAGAUAUCGGAAGGAACACCAGUGGCGAAGGCGACUUCCUGGGCCAAUACUGACGCUGAGGUGCGAAAGCGUGGGGAGCAAACAGGAUUAGAUACCCCAGUAGUCC